GACCUUUGAUGACAUGCCAUGCUAAUAUGAGUUAACUGACUAAAAUAUUUCUCAUUUCACUGAGGUCU